rnacentral:rRNA from 1 species
GUGUCACAAGGUUUCCGUAGGUGUAACAAGGUUUCCGUAGGUGAACCUGCGGAAGGAUCAUUA